GUGUCUCAAAAAACGAAAAUAUAAAAUGCAUUUCACCACAGACUACACAAAAACGUGCCCUUGUUUAAUAAGGAUGAAAAAUAAUGACAAUGUUACGCGCUGAACUGUUUGCAACAGUGAUUUCAGCAUUGCUCAUGACGGUUUAAACGACUGUAAAAGGUACGUCCAGGAAGGCUCACAUCCAACCGAACACUGUGACCCCAGAGCUAAGCUGACAUGUACCCAAACACCCUGAUCGCAGAGGCAAGCUGCGGUCUACCCAAACACGCAGACCCCUCAGGCUGCCCCAGUACGUCUAGGUGGUGACAAUCCAUCCUACAGGGUUGACAUGAUGUGCUUUCCUGAAGCACACAAAGGACACCUCGGGUUUUAUGAAAGUGUAUGAUGCUGUUUUAGCCCGACCCUUGUGCAGAGUUUGGAAGUCUGCGGGUAUGUUCCUUUUUGAACUUUUUCUUUUUGUCUUAACUUUUUAUUGGCAUGCAUGUAAGGUAACAUUUUAAUUGUUUUAUUGGCCAUGUAAUUAGAUUUUAAUGGUGUAUAAUUGUAUUUGCUGGUGGAAUUGCUCUUUUGCCUGUGUUAAGGGUAAUAGUUCUGCAGGUAGUUCUAUUUGUUAAAUGUUUGAUAAAUAAAAUUCUUAUUGUACUGGGUUGGCAUUGAUUUGCAUGGUGUUUCAGCCUUUUAGAUUGUGAUUUUGUGUUAAUGUAAGUAGUACAAGCAUAAUAUUAUUUAAAAAUCGGCGGGGUGCAGU